AUGCUGCACUAGCUUCUCUGAACCUGCAUUCACGUUUUUCCCCCUUGCCUGUGGGCUCCUCCAAAACUAAGGACACAGGAUGAGGAAGAGUCUGCAUCCUGCUUUUCCAGGACAGUGGAUCUCUCUGAUUCAGAAGUAUUCCUCCUGCAGCACAUACAGAUGUGUGCAUGCAAGAGCAUCGGAACUGAUCCCAGCAGGAGAAUGUGACCCCAUUACCAGGGGCUGAAGGACCCAGCCAGAAUUGGGAGGCUGCGAGUGUUGUUUCUGGGGCAGCACCAUUUCUCCUCUCCCCAACAUCACUGCAUCCUUUGAGGCAGCAUCUACAAUCCGUGAGCUGACUGAAGCAACCUGGUGUUGUUCCCAGCUGAGGCAGAGUAGUCUCUUAAAUGAUGGAUGACCUACGCUACGGUGUCCUUUGAACAAUAAAGGAUAUCAA